rnacentral:rRNA from 1 species
UUGGCUAAGUACGGUCGGACAUCGUACGGUUAGUGUAAUGGUAGAAGCCAGCUUAACUGCGAGACAGACACGUCGAGCAGGUACGAAAGUAGGUCAUAGUGAUCCGGUGGUUCUGAAUGGAAGGGCCAUCGCUCAACGGAUAAAAGGUACUCCGGGGAUAACAGGCUGAUACCGCCCAAGAGUUCAUAUCGACGGCGGUGUUUGGCACCUCGAUGUCGGCUCAUCACAUCCUGGGGCUGAAGUCGGUCCCAAGGGUAUGGCUGUUCGCCAUUUAAAGUGGUACGCGAGCUGGGUUUAGAACGUCGUGAGACAGUUCGGUCCCUAUCUGCCGUGGGCGUUUGAGAAUUGAGAGGGGUUGCUCCUAGUACGAGAGGACCGGAGUGAACGAACCGCUGGUGUUCGGGUUGUCAUGCCAAUGGCAUUGCCCGGUAGCUACGUUCGGAACUGAUAAGCGCUGAAAGCAUCUAAGCGCGAAGCAGGCCUCGAGAUGAGUUCUCACUAGACUUUUAAAGUCUCUGAAGGGCCGUUGAAGACUACAACGUUGAUAGGCAAGAUGUGGAAGUGGUGUGAGCCAUUAAGCUAACUUGUACUAAUUACCCGUGAGGCUUAACCAUACAACGCCAAACGCGUUUUG